rnacentral:rRNA from 1 species
CAUGGGGGCCAUACCACCCUGAACGCGCCCGAUCUCGUCUGAUCUCGGAAGCUAAGCAGGGUCGGGCCUGGUUAGUACUUGGAUGGGAGACCCCAAGGAUUUUCUGACCAUCCUGUCA